rnacentral:rRNA from 1 species
AUUGAACGCUGGCGGCAUGCCUAACACAUGCAAGUCGAACGGAAACGGGCUGUCGUUUUCCGACGCUUGGCUAGCGGGUGAGUAAUACAUCCGGGCGUGCCCUGUCGUUGGGUUUAAGGUGGCGAAAGCUUUGCUAAUACCGCAUACGAUCUACGCUUGUGAUCAAUGGAGCGCAAUGCCUAGCGUGGGCGGUGCGGGCGGUGGUAGAUGAGGUAGUUGGUGGGGUAAAAGUUUUCGAAGCCGAAGAUUUGGACGUGUACUGGGAGGAUGAUCAGCCACACUGGGACUGAGACACGGACCAGACUCCUAAGGGAGGCAGCAGUGGGGAAUUUUGGGCAAUGGGCGCAAGCCUGAUCCAGCCAUGCCGCGUGCAGGAUGAAGGCCUUCGGGUUGUAAACUGCUUUUGUACGGAACGAACAGCCUUCUUCUAAUACGGGCGGGUCAUGACGGUACCGGAUAAAUAAGCACCGGCUAACUACGUG